UAGAUAGAAGCUUCUGGUUUGAUGACCUGGGAAAGAGGGGGUCGAGGUUUGAUGACAAUGGCGGCAGGGGACAAGCGCAGUAAAGUUAGCUCUCUAACUCCCCGCUGUUUACAGCAUGAGAACUUUAGUGGACUUCACCCCUUUGAGCCUCACAGGAAGUGAGGCAGUCCUGUGGAGAGGUGAUGUGUCUUCAGCCGUUCCCUUCCCUUCGUCCCUCGCCCACGUGUCCCUCUGCUGUGCCGUCUCCUGCCCUCUCGUCCUUCCACUCCCGCGGCGUCUCGCUCUCUCUGGCGCAUUUUUGAGAGCCUUCUUACAGUUCUGCUAAUGAGGGAGGAACCAGGCAGUCGCCUGCGUCGCUUUCCUCUGUCAUCAUCUUUGGUUCUGUGGCCGUUUUCACUUCACUUUAAUAAUUUUCCAUUUUCCAUCUUUUCAUUUCAGAUUUGGCUGUCAGCAUGCCCCCCCAUUCUCUACAGCGAAGGCCUGGAGCUCCUCUCAUGCAUGCUAUGUCAGUCAGCGCUUGCCUGGAGACACAUUGCCAUGUCUGGUACCACCUGCGGCUCUGUGCUCAAGAUGACCGCUCCGGUUUGGAGGAGCGCGAAAAGCCCUGGACCCAGCCGUCGGCUGCCCUGCGACACGUCCAGCGCCCAGGCUUCCCGGCUGGGAGCCUGCCCCCUCUAGGGUGCCUCCUCAGCGUGGGACCGCCAGCAUCGUACCAGGGCUGAGUAAGUACGGUAGGAGACCCCACUGCCCCACACACACACACACACACACACACACACACACACACACACACACACACACACACACACACACACAAAAGGCUUUAUUCAGCUUGGACAGAUUUGAUGGACAUGCACGGCACGUAAGCAGAGAUUAGCAGUAGCUGCACUGGGGUCUACAAAAGAACAGGAGGAGGAGUGGGGGGAGCUGCGUGGGGUCCCUAGGCUGGCAGUGCUGUCACAGUGUGCAACCUCACUCGUCCAUCUCCGUCAGCCCCCGGGAGGUGGAGAACGCGGGCAGCGUGCCGUUACAACGAGCUGAUCCUGUGGAGCUUGGCGCCCAUGGAGAGACCCUCCCGGUUCCAUGGUGCCAGAUGUUCAACGGGACCAGGUCGGGGGUGGUGAGAAGCAUUUGGGUUUCAAGCUUAAGAUCUGGUUGCUGCGCUCACCCUGUCUUCUCGCGGUCAAGUCUAGUCAAUGUCGUCAGUCGGUUAUUGUUGUGUCGGCAGCUCCUGUCACCCGUCUGUGUGUCACCGAGGCCGGGUCGCCUUGACAUCAGGGACCGGGGCGUUCGGGGACGUCCACACACCUGUAUUCGGGGCAGAGCUGCAUGUGUGCGAAUUCACCUGCCCUUUGGUAAACCAGCGACAGCUCAACGUACCUGUGCGCAGCCGGCGGCGAACACAGCAGCUGGAAAUUUGAAGUUGUAAAUGAGCGUGUGGGAUUGGGGGAGAGUAUCUAUUUCUAUGGGAACGCCAUGCUCUCCCUCCAUUAGCGCGCACGCACUCCGCUCGGCCCACGCUGCCAGCUGCAAGCAGAAAGCGUUGCAGCGACCGUUGGUGUCGCUGACACUCUCGCACGAGCCUCGUGGCCAGCUGAAUGCGCAGGCCAGCGCCAGGGAGCCCAUCGCACGUAGAUACACACAUCUGUCAAACAUGUCGAUCAAAGUGCACGCGCCC
ensembl:lncRNA